rnacentral:rRNA from 1 species
GUGCCAGCAGCCGCGGUGAUACGUACGGGGCAAGCGCUACUCGGAUUUACUGGGCGUAAAGCGAGCGUAGGCGGUCUGAUAAGUCAGGGGUGAAAUCCCUCAGCUCAACUGAGGAACUGCCCUUGAUACUGUUGGACUAGAGGACAGGAGAGGAAAGUGGAAUUCCCGGUGUAGCGGUGGAAUGCGUAGAUAUCGGGAGGAACACCAGAGGCGAAGGCGACUUUCUGGACUGAUCCUGACGCUGAGGUUCGAAAGCUAGGGGAGCAAACAGGAUUAGAUACCCUGGUAGUCCUAGCUGUAAACGAUGGAUACUAGAUCUUGCGCAGGAGCGCUUGGUCGAAGCUAACGCGUUAAGUAUCCCGCCUGGGGAGUACGGUCGCAAGGCUGAAACUCAAAGGACUUGACUGGAGACCCGCACAAGCAGUGGAGCAUGUGGUUUAAUUCGAUGCAACGCGAAGAACCUUACCUGGGCUUGAACUGUUGGUAUUAGCUACCUGAAAGGGAUAGUGAUCCUCGUUUGGCAGGCACCAAGCAGGAGGUGCUGCAUGACUGUCGUCAGCUCGUGUCGUGAGAUGUUGGGUUAAGUCCUGCAACGAGCGCAACCCUUACCCUUAGUUGUCAGCGAAUCAUGUCGGAUACUCUAAUGCGACUGCCGGUGACGAGCCGGAGGAAGGUGGGGAUGACGUCAAGUCAGCAUGGCCUUUAUGUCCAGGGCUACACACGUGCUACAAUGGGUGGUACAGAGGGAAGCAAUACCGCGAGGUGGAGCAAAUCCCUAAAGCCAUUCUCAGUUCGGAUUGAAGACCGCAAUUCGUCUUCAUGAAGUUGGAAUUGCUAGUAAUCGCAGAUCAGCUACGCUGCGGUGAAUACGUUCUCGGGUCUUGUACACACCGCCCGUCACAUCACGAAAGCUGGUAGCUCCAGAAGUCGUUGGUCUAACCCGCAAGGGAGGAAGACGCCGAAGGAGAUGCUGGUGAUUGGGGUGAAGUCGUAACAAGGUAGCCGUACGGGAACGUGCGGCUGGAUCACCUCCUUCUAGACUAGAGAA